UACGUAGGGUGCAAGCGUUAAUCGGAAUUACUGGGCGUAAAGCGUGCGCAGGCGGUUUUGUAAGUUUGUCGUGAAAUCCCCGGGCUCAACCUGGGAAUGGCGAUGAAGACUGCAAGGCUAGAGUUUGGCAGAGGGGGGUAGAAUUCCACGUGUAGCAGUGAAAUGCGUAGAUAUGUGGAGGAACACCGAUGGCGAAGGCAGCCCCCUGGGUCAAAACUGACGCUCAUGACACGAAAGCGUGGGGAGCAAACAGG
rnacentral:rRNA from 1 species